CUCCCAUUCAGGCCCACGUCCUGUCUUCUAGAGCUCUGCCCUGACCAUGUGCACGACUCACACCUUCUUUAGGUACAUAAACGUGUGUCCUACGGCAAGAGCACAGAGGUCAAAGUCCUGGGUGUCAGUCAAGCUCAGCAGCAGGUGCAUUGCUGAGAACUGAUCCAGUCCCUUGCCCAUGUUCAAUGCUUAUGGUCCCACAGAGGGAUAAGCACCCCAUCGUUUUCGGUGCUGAGGAUCAGACCCAGGCCUUCAUGCAUACAAAGCAGAUGUUCAGCUUCAGAGCAUCCCACAGCACAUGUCUGUCGUCCUGGAGCUUCACAGUAGAAGACAGAAAGAUUACUGAGCCUUGUUGGCCAGCAGAUCAUGUGCAGUCAGUGAGUUCCAGACACUGAGAGAUUGUGUCAAAGAACAAAAACAAGGUAGAUAAGGAUAAAGGGAGAGGCCUGGCAUCAAUCUCUGUCUUCUGUAU
rnacentral:lncRNA from 1 species